rnacentral:lncRNA from 1 species
CAAAAACUGUUCUCCAUGAUCUUUUGCUUUCCAUCAAAAUUCUUUGUACUGUGAAUCCUUCAUUCUUUUCCCCUAAUUCGUCAUCGAAUCCUCAAAUCAUUUUGCUCUUUUUCCUUCUUUCUGCAACAUUUUUACAUACAUAGUCUAUAGAUAUAGAUAUAGUGGGAGGGGAAAAAAGAGAAAGCUAUGCUUGACUUUGGUGAUGAGUUGAUAAUCGAGAGCUACAAAAUCUCAUGGCUAAUAUGGAUCCAUCUUCUUGUUACGAUUCUUUUCAUAAUCCUUAUUUUCUUUGGAUUCAACAUUUUUACUUCAGAUUUCUCCCAAAAUCCUUCCACCACUACGACAUCAGCUCCGCCUUCAACUAGCUCUUCGCAAAGAACCAAGGUCAGUUUAAUAAUUUCCUUUAUCAACUAUUUUCUGUCAGGGACUGAGUUUAUUUUCUUUUUCUAGAGAAAUUUAAUAAACUUAUUAUUAUUUUUUUUUCUGUUAGAUGUUUGGGAAGAAAAUUAAAAUGGGAAAGCAUUGAAAUCGUCAUGUAUUUGUUCCUUAGAAUCAUAAGAUCCAAGAGAAGCACAAGGGGAAAAAAAGGAUAUUUUAGUCCCAAAUUAUGUAGUUGUAGGAGGAUAAAUUAUGGGAUUGUCGAAUUAGGCAGUUGCAAGUUGGGACAUGUUCUACGUAGAUAUAGAGUAUGAGAAUUGAUUUUUUGAUCGUUAAAGAUAAGCGGGUUCCACUUGUGAGUGAGGAAAUGAAAAAUAACAGUUAAAAUAAUAAAAUAAUGAUAAAAAAAAUUGAUUUUUCGGAUUGAAAAAUUGCUACCAAAUGGGGCAUAGAUUUGAUCAAGAGUUGGCGGGCUGGUCCAAAUUUUAAGGUGUUUUGUUCUAGUUACUCAAGAUUACAUACUUCUUGAUGUUUCAAAUGAAUUGAAAGAAGUGACGGAAAAUAAUACAUGAAGCUGAUCUCAAAUUUAUUAGGAAUAAGUAUUGUUGCGGUUACGUGGGGUCGGAAAUUGAGUUAUAUUUAUAUUUGAUUGGGUUAUAAUUGAGUUGUUGGCAAGUUGACAUUGUUAUAUUUAGAAUGCAAGUUAUGUUGAUUUGCAUAUUAAAGGUGACUAGUAAGAAUUACUGUUAAGUUUGAUUAACGAUCAUAUUCAGUUUCUAAGAUCGUCUAUUUGCCACUGAGAACUGACAUCACGAACUUCUUGGAUGCAUAUCCUGUGACUCUUUUUCGAAAGAUGUGAAUUAUUGUUUGAACAUGUUACUUUUAUAAAUAAAUUUACAAUUUCGGUAGGGAAUAGAAUGUUUAAAUUUAAAUUUUAUCUUAGCAGGUAAAUGAAAACCGAAGAAUUAAGAGAGAUGCUGGAACAAGUGGACGAACAAUAGUAGAAGUCGAAGAAUGUGAAGAAUCUUCAUUGAAUGAUUCUAUAUUUUUUAGGCUUUUUAGACAUCCAAAGCAACCUUGCAACUAUCUCGGGCUAGUUAAACAAGCUCUUUUCAAGUGUUUCGGCUUAGAUUCCAGAUGCGAGAGCUCAAACAACGGAAAACUCGAAAAUGAAGAUUGAUGUAAACACUCUCUUUGUGCACAAACACGCACUAAGACUUGUGCAUGUGUGCUCAAACAUAAUCAUACAUAUGUAGUGGUGUCAAGCAGGUCAACCCAUUUGAAAUGUGCCUAGGUUGAGUUUAGUUAAGAGUAAUGGUAUUUAAUACCAUUAGUAUUAAAACAUAGAUUUAAGUGUCAUUAAAUGAAAUGUAUAAUUACAUGAAUCACGCAAUUUCAUAUUUAAUUGAAUCUAUCAGAGCGCUUG